UGUUGUCAGAUUCAAAGGGUAAAGGCCAUGCCAGAAAUAGGAAACCACGCUAAUGAGGUCAGGAGCCUGGUGAAAUGAAGAGCAAAAGUCAGAGAUCUUACCUUGCACAGGGCCUGGAGACAGGGCUACCACCCAGAAUUCUUCAAGGGAGCAUCUGCCACAUGCUCCCUUCACAUAAAUCACUCUAUGAUGGACACUCCUUCCAACUGCGUCCUGCCCAACUGGCGCAGUAGUGGAAGUAACAUCCUCCACAUCAAGAUGGAACAGACACACCAGCUUCUUCCUCAUCUCUCCUUUGUCUGCCUCAUGAGGGUACUGCACACCUUCCCAUGUCAAUGGUCUUAUCCCCUCUUAGAAGCACCGUUGUGCUUAACCCUUGAUUUUAUAUAGAAUCUAGUGAUAACUACACUGUAUUUAUCUCAGACUUAUUAAAAUGGUGUAUCAUCCUGGAAGAAGGCAGUCUGACCAUUUCUCCCAUUGUGGAGCACUCAGUGGUCCCCCACACCUGUUCCAGCUCAGAGCCCCCUUCACCCUGACCCUCAACAAUUACCUUUCCCUGCUGAUGCAAGGUCUUCAAAUGUCUGGAGUUGCACUGAGUACACACACUCUAGGCCUUCACACUCUACCCUCUACUAAACCAAGAUGCUAAUCCAGAAAAGAGCUGGGGUGAAGGCUACAGUAAUUAUCAUUUCCUAAAACCAGUGUUGAGAUUCACCGUUGUGACCUCCACCAUCUUGAAAGAGAUCAACGGGCGUGUCUUGGAUUCCAUGAUUUGCCACAGUGAUGUGACUGCAGCGAGGGAGAAAAGAAGGGACACAGGUGUAUGCCAGUGCUGGUCAGGCGUAUCGAUGACAAGAUAACAAAUGGACUAACUUUUUAAAGCAUCCUGCUGGCAUCAUGGAGAAUGGAGAGAUGAGAAGGUAAG